AGAAACUUAGGUUAACCCAAACCAGGGACCUUCAAAGCCCCAAUACGAGUAGAUACAAACCUCUUAGUUUCUG
rnacentral:tRNA from 1 species